rnacentral:ribozyme from 1 species
GGAUUAUGAAAGCAAAUAAAGGAGGAGAGGCCACGUCCAAACAAAGCAGCCGGCUUCACCAAGAAGAAGUAGUUCAGAAAUAUCCUGUUUUCUUGAUUUGAGAAUAAAUCUUUUGCUUUUUCCUUUUUUAAUCUUUGUUAGUUUGCUAUUUGG